GACCCACCAAAUGAAAGACAACGAGGCCCCAGGUUGGCUGAGUGAUCUGGGGCGGGCUGCUGAGAUGGAAAGAGAACUGAGCAGAGAUUCAGAAAACCUCAAGUUCUAGUCCUGGGCCUGCCACGUCAUCCCUGGAGAUGUCAACUUCCUGCAGGAAGGAGCGUGCCCUUGGUCCUCAGACUCACCUCAGAUGGGCAGAAAGAACAGCCCCCUGGCGCAAAAGAGGAAGAUUGUGGAUUCAAACGGCUGCCCCCACCGCCGGCAAGGAAAGGAAAGCUCCCCUAAGGAGGGGAGAUGGUGGCCAGGGAGAAGAGUACAG